CCGGAAGCUAACUGUGACCACACACAGAAGGAGACCCACACAAUCGCCUCAACCAGGGAGUCACUGGUUAUCACUGGCAGUGACAAAUUCUCCAUGCUGCACAAACACACAAAAGCCAAUGCUGAGUAACAACAAGAAAGGCCACACUCACAACGACGCUUCAGUUAACCAGAGCUCCAUUCGCCGCGAUUCUCAUUUUGUCGAGCUGAAGGACGCAUGGACAGUGUUGGGACUCAAGCCACCCACAGGCCAUUGCAUGACCACACUGCCGGAGGAAGGGCUCCUUCUGCUGCACGGCCAGAGCGGGGGUGUUGCGUCCAGCAGACACGUGGCCCAGUCUCUGCCAUCACCUUCUGUCCAUGUGGCCUCGGCAGGGCAGGGAACCCUCGGCCUCAGGAAGCUCGUCUGUAAAACAGGGAGGAUAAUAACACACCCUCGUGGGGCGGCGGCGAGGAUUCCUGGAGACAGUGUGUAUCGAAGUGUCUAGCGCAAUCUCCAGCGCACAGUAGGAGCUAAGCGAUUGUUGAGUUUCUUCUCCUUCCUUCUGCAUUGCAAACCUCUCACCCCCCAGGCCACUGGCAAUCGCCCCAGGAGAGCCCUCUCUGCAGCCCCCAGACUCAGGGAGCCACUCUGGCUCCUAAGGCGAGCUGUUUGGACCCACCAGACCCUGAGACCACCCGGGACCUUACCCUCUGGAGCUGAGGAGUAGGGGGCAGGCGCCUGCCCUCGGUCAGACUGUCUGCUCCCAGAGGUCAGCGUCAGACACACAGAGGAGGCCUGAACUGCCGCCUUCAGGAGGAGUUAAGAGCAUGACCACUGAUGAGUGUGUAGGCCUGCACCCGCGAACCGAACCCAGGCCACCGAAGCAGAGAGCACCAAACUCAACUCCAGGCUGUGAGGCCGGCCCUUCAUUCAUCUUCUUUACAUUCGCUGAGCACGGUGGUGAUCCCUCCCUACCCCUGCUAUUGACCAGGAUGAGAGAAGCAGCUGGACUGCGUGUCUCAUCACCAAAAGCCAGACCAGGCUUCUUCAAAUGGCGGCAGUCACGGGGCUCCAAAAACAGCAAGAGAGGACAAGUCCCACUGCACAGGUGCAUUUCAGCCUCUGCCUGUUCCACAGCAGCCGCAGCAAUCACGUGACAGAGCCCAGUGUCCAGUGGGAGAGGGUAUGAAUCCAAGGAGGGGAUGACGUUGGGGCCAUUUUUGCAAUCUACCACAAGGAUUAAAUGAACCACCAAGCAGGCUGUCC
rnacentral:lncRNA from 1 species